GAAAAUUCAAAAUAACUGACUUCCUGUUGGGAUUUGAAUUUCGUACCAAGAGACUUUUUUAUAGGUAUUGGUGUGUUACAUGUGUGUACCGAUUUUUGUACAUGUGCGUGAAACGUAGCUCGAGGCGCACUCCGUUGAAAAUGUAUAGGUGGCGCUAUCGAGGCAUUUUGCCACACCCAAUGGAAUAUUGGCCUUCAGAUGUGUUCAGGCCAGGACACUUAUCAAACAUGUGAAGUUUGGGCAAGAUCGGACAUUUUAUGCCUGAGUUACAAUAACUUUUAUUCCCAUGGCGAGACAUCGAACUUUGUGACGGCGCCAUGGACACGCCCUUUAACGAAAACUCAAGAUCUUCACAAUUUAACAUCGCACAGGCCUUUAGAAUAGAGUGACUGAAAAAAAAAGUAUUAUGUCAUAAAAUUUCUCGGGGUAGUUUGUUACAGCGUAAAAUAUGUCACUUCCUGUUGCCAGUAGGUGGCGCUGUGACUAUAACUGAAUAUGGGCAUAUCAAUCUGUUCAG
ensembl:lncRNA